UACAGAGGGGGCAAGCGUUGUUCGGAAUUACUGGGCGUAAAGGGCGCGUAGGCGGCCUUCUAAGUCGAACGUGAAAUCCCUGGGCUCAACCCAGGAACUGCGUCCGAUACUGGAAGGCUUGAAUCCGGGAGAGGGAUGCGGAAUUCCAGGUGUAGCGGUGAAAUGCGUAGAUAUCUGGAGGAAUACCGGUGGCGAAGGCGGCAUCCUGGACCAUUACUGACGCUGAGGCGCGAAAGCUAGGGGAGCAAACGGG
rnacentral:rRNA from 1 species